AUGAUCCUACGGGACGCAGCAGUGGGGAAUAUUGCACAAUGGGGGAAACCCUGAUGCAGCGACGCCGCGUGAGUGAGGAAGUAUUUCGGUAUGUAAAGCUCUAUCAGCAGGGAAGAAAAUGACGGUACCUGACCAAGAAGCCCCGGCUAACUACGUGCCAGCAGCCGCGGUAAUACGUAGGGGGCAAGCGUUAUCCGGAUUUACUGGGUGUAAAGGGAGCGUAGGCGGCUGUGUAAGCCAGAAGUGAAAGCCCGAGGCUCAACCACGGGACUGCUCUGGAAACUAUUGAACUUGAGUGCAGGAGG
rnacentral:rRNA from 1 species